rnacentral:lncRNA from 1 species
UACUUUAGAGAAAAAACACGAAAAACCUACGUGAAAAAAUUCAAAUGGAUCCUGAAUAAGCAACGUCCACGUGGGCCAGCACCAAAGCUAAAACUGGAAGAUGAUGUUACUGUCGUAGGAAGCUUCCACAUCUCAACACAAGUUGAAGACCUCUUAAAGAAAGGGCCCAUCACUGUCCCACAAAGCGUACCCAAGAUAUGUGAUAUGGCACUACAUAUUGACCACUUAUUAAUGAACUACGAUGAAGUGGAUAAGGAGAAAACAAGAUGGGACCUUAUUAAAGCUAGCCAAACGGAAGCUAGGACACCCGCUCAAAACUUUUCUAAGUAUAAGGCAACUAUAACCUACCCCAAAGAUUGGAUAAGAAAAAACUCCAUUACAUGCACAAAAGAUGAUAAGACCAAGAAAUAAGUCCUUAUAGAGAAAGAAAAGUACAAUAGACUUUUACUGGGCUUUAUAGAACAAUCGCAGUCUGAGGUAUUAAUGUCCAACCCCACCGAUAGGUUAGCCGAGGCUGUUCAUCAAAUUGUUAAGUCUAAACAUUUUUCCACUAUAUGGAGAGUCAGGGAAGUCCAUCGCCAUAUGCCCCUCGACUUUUUGGCUACGUAAAAACGCAUAAAAUGCCCCCAGCAAUACGACCUAUGGUCAAUAAAAAAUCCCCACCACUGUAUAACUUAGAAAAAGUUAUAGCCAAAUGGGCCGCCAGCCAUCUUAAAGGAUAUGCA